rnacentral:rRNA from 1 species
UACGGAGGGUGCAAGCGUUAUCCGGAUUCACUGGGUUUCCAGGGUGCGUAGGUGGGCAGGUAAGUCAGUGGUGAAAUCUUUGGGCUUAACCCGAAAACUGCCAUUGAUACUAUUUGUCUUGAAUAUUGUGGAGGUCAGCGGAAUAUGUCAUGUAGCGGUGAAAUGCUUAGAUAUGACAUAGAACACCAAGUGCGAAGGCAGCUGGCUACACAUAUAGUGACACUGAUGCACGAAAGCGUGGGGAUCAAACAGG